GAGUGCGGUAAGUCAUAGCUCGGUGCUCACGAUUCACGGAUCCCAUCAGAACUCCAAAGUUAAGCGUGCUUGGGCGAGAGUAGUACUAGGAUGGGUGACCUCCUGGGAAGUCCUCGUGUUGCAUUCC
rnacentral:rRNA from 1 species